rnacentral:rRNA from 1 species
GCUGGCGGCGUGCCUAAUACAUGCAAGUCGAGCGAACAGACGAGGAGCUUGCUCCUCUGACGUUAGCGGCGGACGGGUGAGUAACACGUGGAUAACCUACCUAUAAGACUGGGAUAACUUCGGGAAACCGGAGCUAAUACCGGAUAAUAUAUUGAACCGCAUGGUUCAAUAGUGAAAGACGGUUUUGCUGUCACUUAUAGAUGGAUCCGCGCCGCAUUAGCUAGUUGGUAAGGUAACGGCUUACCAAGGCAACGAUGCGUAGCCGACCUGAGAGGGUGAUCGGCCACACUGGAACUGAGACACGGUCCAGACUCCUACGGGAGGCAGCAGUAGGGAAUCUUCCGCAAUGGGCGAAAGCCUGACGGAGCAACGCCGCGUGAGUGAUGAAGGUCUUCGGAUCGUAAAACUCUGUUAUUAGGGAAGAACAAAUGUGUAAGUAACUAUGCACGUCUUGA